rnacentral:rRNA from 1 species
GAGUUUGAUCAUGGCUCAGGACGAACGCUGGCGGCGUGCUUAACACAUGCAAGUCGAACGGUAAGGCCCUUCGGGGUACACGAGUGGCGAACGGGUGAGUAACACGUGGGUAAUCUGCCCUGCACAUCGGGAUAAGCCUGGGAAACUGGGUCUAAUACCGAAUAGGACCACAGAACACAUGUCCUGUGGUGGAAAGCUUUUGCGGUGUGGGAUGGGCCCGCGGCCUAUCAGCUUGUUGGUGGGGUGAUGGCCUACCAAGGCGACGACGGGUAGCCGGCCUGAGAGGGUGUCCGGCCACACUGGGACUGAGAUACGGCCCAGACUCCUACGGGAGGCAGCAGUGGGGAAUAUUGCACAAUGGGCGAAAGCCUGAUGCAGCGACGCCGCGUGGGGGAUGACGGCCUUCGGGUUGUAAACCUCUUUCACCAUCGACGAAGGUCCGGGUUUUCUCGGAUUGACGGUAGGUGGAGAAGAAGCACCGGCCAACUACGUGCCAGCAGCCGCGGUA